AGGUUUCCGUAGGUGAACCUGCGGAGGAUCAUUG
rnacentral:rRNA from 2 species